rnacentral:rRNA from 1 species
UACGAAGGGGGCUAGCGUUGCUCGGAAUCACUGGGCGUAAAGCGUGCGCAGGCGGUUUUGUAAGUCAGAUGUGAAAUCCCCGGGCUUAACCUGGGAACUGCAUUUGUGACUGCAUCGCUGGAGUGCGGCAGAGGGGGAUGGAAUUCCGCGUGUAGCAGUGAAAUGCGUAGAUAUGCGGAGGAACACCGAUGGCGAAGGCAAUUCCCCUGGGC